rnacentral:misc_RNA from 1 species
AUAGUGAUAUUAAUUAUUUACUACAUUUUGUUAUUAGUUUGUGUUUUAAUUUCAGUUGCAUUUUUAACUUUAUUGGAACGAAAAGUAUUAGGUUAUAUUCAAAUUCGUAAAGGUCCUAAUAAAGUUGGAAUUUCUGGAAUUCUACAACCAUUUUCUGACGCUAUUAAAUUAUUUACAAAGGAACAGACUUGGUCUUCUGUUUCUAAUUACCUUUUAUAUUUUUUUUCUCCUGUAUUUAUAUUUUUUAUAUCUUUAUUUUUAUGAUCUAUGAUACCUUUUAUAACUGGGUUUUUUGAUUUUGAGUUUGGAUUUUUCUUUUUCUUAUGUGUUUUAAGAUUGGGAGUUUACCCUUUAAUAAUUGCUGGAUGAUCGUCUAACUCAAAAUAUGCUCUAUUAGGAGGUUUACGGGCUGUAGCUCAAACUAUUUCAUAUGAAGUAAGAUUAGCUUUAGUUCUUUUAUCUUUUAUUAUUGUUGUUGGAGAAUAUAGAUUGGAAGAUUUUGUCGAAUAUCAAAAUUCUUUUUAUUUUAUUUUCUUUUUUUAUUUGUUAUCUCUUGUUUGAAUUGUAUCUUGUAUAGCUGAAAUAAAUCGAACUCCUUUUGAUUUUGCUGAAGGAGAAUCUGAAUUAGUGUCAGGUUUUAAUGUUGAGUAUAGAGCUGGGGGCUUUGCUUUAUUAUUUUUGGGUGAAUAUUCUAUAAUUAUUUUAAUAAGAACAGUAAUAGUUAUCUUAUUUCUAAGUGGGGAUUUAUAUUUUACAUUUUUUUUAAAGGUAGGAUUUUUUAUUACUUUGGUAUUAUGAUUACGAGGUACCCUUCCCCGUUACCGGUAUGAUAAAUUAAUAAGUUUGGCUUGAAAAAGAAUUUUACCUUUUACUCUUCAUUGUUUAUUUAUAUAUAUGGGUUUCAAAGUAGUUUUUGAAGUAAUCUAA